AUUGAACGCUGGCAGCAGGCCUAACACAUGCAAGUCGAGCGAGCGGCGGACGGGUGAGUAAUGUAUGGGGAUCUGCCCGAUGGAGGGGGAUAACUACUGGAAACGGUAGCUAAUACCGCAUACUAUAGGAUGAACCCAUAUGGGAUUAGGUAGUAGGUGGGGUAAAGGCUCACCAAGGCGACGAUCUCUAGCUGGUCUGAGAGGAUGAUCAGCCACACUGGGACUGAGACACGGCCCAGACUCCUACGGGAGGCAGCAGUGGGGAAUAUUGCACAAUGGGCGCAAGCCUGAUGCAGCCAUGCCGCGUGAAUGAAGAAGGCCUUAGGGUUGUAAAGUACUUUCAGCGGCGAGGCGUUACCCGCAGAAGAAGCACCGGCUAACUCCGUGCCAGCAGCCGCGGUAAUAC
rnacentral:rRNA from 1 species